GGCAGCGACUAUACCACGUUGGAGACACCGAUUCUCGUCUGAUCACCAAGGUUAAGCAACGUCGGGCCCGGUUAGUACUGGCAUGUGUGACCGGCUGGGAAUAGCGCGUGUUGCGGCAG
rnacentral:rRNA from 1 species